rnacentral:rRNA from 1 species
CAGCCGCCGCGGUAAAACCAGCAGCCCAAGUGGUGGUCGCGUUUAUUGGGCCUAAAGCGCUCGUAGCCUGACCGGUAAGUUCUCCGUGAAAUCGGGUCGCCCAACGAUUCGGCUUGCGGGGAAUACUGUCGGUCUUGGGGCCGGGAGACGCCGAGGGUACUCCGGGGGUAGCGGUGAAAUGCUGUAAUCCUCGGGGGACUACCAGUGGCGAAGGCGCUCGGCGAUAACGGGCCUGACGGUGAGGGGCGAAAGCUGGGGGCGCGAACGGGAUUAGAUACCCCCGUAGUCCCUGUCUCUUAUA